UAAGGCGAUGGAGUUCGCCAUAACCGCCGAACAGGCUGAUGACUCCUACCA
rnacentral:ncRNA from 1 species